GGAAAAGUGGCUCAAUGGUAGAGUGCCAGCCUGGCAAGUGUGACGCCUUGAGUUCAAAUCUCAAUGUUGCCA
rnacentral:tRNA from 1 species